GCCAGAGAUUCUCUAAAGUCAAAAACACAUGACAAAACACGCAAUCCCUUCAUCACAAGAUGACACGUGACACACACAGCUCGGCUACAAGAAUAGAAAGGACCAACUCUGCCUGGAACCCCAAAGAGCAAGCCACAGUGGCAGUGUCUGUGUGCAGAAUCCAGAUCAGCUGCACAACCAGGAGAACCAAGGACAACCAGAUGGAGGAGGAACAGGACAAGCAAGUGGAGAACAACCGGGGCAACCAGGUUGGCUCUGGGCAGGGACAGUUGGAAUCAUCAGGCAGCAAACAGAUCUCCAACACAACCAGGAGGACCAAGGACAGGAACAGUUAGGAGUCGGCAGGCCAGGUAGUACUGAGGCAUGGUCCAAGGGCUUGUGUCACCAGAAACAUUAGAGAAUGCAUUAGAGGGAUAAAAGAUACCUAAGAUAGAUAUAAUUCAGACUGACCCUUUUCCCAAACACAUAAACGAAUGCAACGACAGACUGACCCUUGUCUGCCUGCACAAUACUAUGGCAGCAUAACACUCGGGACUGAGAAGGGGGUCCAGAGCCACUGUGGCUCCAUCUCAAGAUACAGCAAGAGAGGUUGUUUAUUUAUUUAUAUUUUUAUAAAUUAUUCCUGAAACAUUCCUGGAAUAUUUUGUUACAUUCAAGCAAACUGAAAUACCUACAGUAUGUUAUUUUUAUUAAUUGAAAACAAAUCCCUGCUUUAGCUAACCGUCAUAACAACUUGCUCUUGUGUAUGUAUGUUUGUUUUUUUCUUUGUAGAAUAUCUGCAAGAAAGUCAGUUUUAACUUUCCAGCUACCAAAUAUAUCAAAAUAAAAUUAAGCUGAUGUCA